AAGAGUCAGGGUCUCACUGUCACCCAGGCUGGAGUGCAGUAGUGCAAUCAUUGCUCAUGGUAGCCUCAAACUCCUGGGCUCAAGUCAUUCUCCUGUAUCAGCCCCAGAGUAACCGGAACUACAGCUUAUUCAACAUGAAGAUGAUGAGAAUGAGGACUUUGUGAUGAUCUUCCGCUUAAUAAAUGAUCAGCGGAGCAUCACUGGCUGUGUGGGGCUCCCUCCAGUAAGUAGGUCUAGGACCUUAGCCGCAUCUGCUGCUCAUCCCACAUCUUGACAAAAGUACACAAGAACCUCUAGUGCUUCCAUGUCUCCAAAUGCCAUCUCCAUUACACUUCAAAAUGCACCCCCAACCUAGGAUGAUUGGGCUGUCCUUCUUAGCUGAUAAAAACAGCAGAAAAACUUGAUUUGUUUUCUUUAUUUCUGUCAACUAUUGCUAUCAGGUAAUAUGCAGUAUGUUUAACCCUCUGAAACAUGAAACCCCUGUAAGUAAGUAAUCCAGGACACACACCUCCUGUAGCACUGUGUCCUACUCAGUCUUAGUCCAGCUAAAUGUGGAAGUGUAUGCACAUUUGGAUCUUUCUAGACAUUUUCUGUAAGUACCAUAAGAGAAGCAUAAGGCAUCCCCAUUUGAUUGUUAGAAGGCUAGCUGGUUUGCAAGAAAGGGACAGAACUUGGAAGAGGCUAGGGCCAGUCCUUGUGAGGCCACCACCAGCAUCAUCUCUGCCAGAUCAUGACACGCCACUGCAGCUGUGCCACUUCAUCCAUCCCUUACACAGCCUCCUCAAGGAGUUCUCCUGGCACAGCACAUACCCUGCUUACUGCAGAGCAUGUGAGGCCCUUGGCCAAGCACAGCGACUCACACCUGUAAUCCCAGCACUUUGGGAGGCCAAGGUGGGCGGAUCACCUGAGGUCAGGAAUUCGAGACAAGCCUGGGCAACAUGGUGAAACCCCGUCUCUACUAAAAAUACAAAAAUUAGCCAGGCAUGGUGGUGUGUGCCUGUAAUCCAGCUAUUCAGGAGGUUGAGACAGGAGAAUCGCUGGAAUCCAGGAGAUGGAGGUUGCAGUGAGCCGAGAUCAUGCCACUGCACUCCAGCACUCCAGCCUGGGCAAUAGAGCAAGACUCCAUCUCAAAAAAACAAAAAACAAAACAAAAAAACCUGUGAGACCCAUGCUCCGGGGGACUGGCCUUGCCAGGUCUUGAACUUACAGGUAGAACAAGUGGUAACCACAGAAAGACUUGAUCCUAUUUUAAUAACCUGAUUCUCAUCUCUUACGACCACAAAGUAUGCUUAUCCUUCUACGUCGAUGUCCGCAUUGGUCUGGGACCCUGACUACUCCUAGGGAAGAGGAAUCAGACUGCCCUUCUAAGUGGUAUCUAUACUUUCAAGGACAAGGGUGCCUUGUAUGAAAGACCAAGGGUCAUUUCUUAUCUUUCCUUAUGCAAGCAGUUGGUUUUGCAGGACCAGCCAUGGUUCCCUGGAGACCCGGCCCAACUUCUGGUACAAAGUAGAGAACUGGACAA
rnacentral:lncRNA from 1 species